AACGAACGCUGGCGGCAUGCCUAACACAUGCAAGUCGAACGAGACCUUCGGGUCUAGUGGCGCACGGGUGCGUAACGCGUGGGAAUCUGCCCUUGGGUUCGGAAUAACAGUUAGAAAUGACUGCUAAUACCGGAUGAUGUCUUCGGACCAAAGAUUUAUCGCCCAAGGAUGAGCCCGCGUCGGAUUAGCUAGUUGGUGAGGUAAAGGCUCACCAAGGCGACGAUCCGUAGCUGGUCUGAGAGGAUGAUCAGCCACACUGGGACUGAGACACGGCCCAGACUCCUACGGGAGGCAGCAGUGGGGAAUAUUGGACAAGGGGCGAAAGCCUGAUCCAGCAAUGCCGCGUGAGUGAUGAAGGCCUUAGGGUUGUAAAGCUCUUUUACCCGGGAUGAUAAUGACGGUACCGGGAGAAUAAGCCCCGGCUAACUCCGUGCCAGCAGCCGCCGUAA
rnacentral:rRNA from 1 species